CCUACGGGUGGCAGCAGUGGGGAAUAUUGCACAAUGGGGGAAACCCUGAUGCAGCGACGCCGCGUGAGUGAAGAAGUAUUUCGGUAUGUAAAGCUCUAUCAGCAGGGAAGAAAAUGACGGUACCUGAUUAAGAAGCCCCGGCUAACUACGUGCCAGCAGCCGCGGUCAUACGUAGGGGGCAAGCGUUAUCCGGAUUUACUGGGUGUAAAGGGAGCGUAGACGGCAGCGCAAGUCUGAAGUGAAAUGCCGGGGCUUAACCCCGGAACUGCAUUGGAAACUGGGCAGCUUGAGUGCAGGAGAGGUAAGUGGAAUUCCUAGUGUAGCGGUGAAAUGCGUAGAUAUUAGGAAGAACACCAGUGGCGAAGGCGGCUUACUGGACUGUAACUGACGUUGAGGCUCGAAAGCGUGGGGAGCAAACAGGAUUAGAUACCCUUGUAGUC
rnacentral:rRNA from 1 species